rnacentral:tRNA from 1 species
GGCUCGUUGGUCUAGGGGUAUGAUUCUUGCUUAGGGUGCAGGAGGUCCCGGGUUCAAAUCCCGGACGAGCCC